rnacentral:rRNA from 1 species
CCUACGGGGGACAGCAGUCGAGAAUCAUUCACAAUGGGGGAAACCCUGAUGGUGCGACGCCGCGUGGGGGAAUGAAGGUCUUCGGAUUGUAAACCCCUGUCAUGUGGGAGCAAAUUAAAAAGAUAGUACCACAAGAGGAAGAGACGGCUAACUCUGUGCCAGCAGCCGCGGUAAUACAGAGGUCUCAAGCGUUGUUCGGAAUCACUGGGCGUAAAGCGUGCGUAGGCUGUUUCGUAAGUCGUGUGUGAAAGGCGCGGGCUCAACCCGCGGACGGCACAUGAUACUGCGAGACUAGAGUAAGGGAGGGGGAACCGGAAUUCUCGGUGUAGCAGUGAAAUGCGUAGAUAUCGAGAGGAACACUCGUGGCGAAGGCGGGUUCCUGGACAUUAACUGACGCUGAGGCACAAAGGCCAGGGGAGCGAAAGGGAUUAGAUACCCGAGUAGUC